CAUAACCUACGGGGCGCAGCAGUGGGGAAUAUUGCACAAUGGGGGAAACCCUGAUGCAGCGACGCCGCGUGAGUGAAGAAGUAUUUCGGUACGUAAAGCUCUAUCAGCAGGGAAGAAAAAAAGUCCUUUGGACUUUGGACGGUACCUGACCAAGAAGCCCCGGCUAACUACGUGCCAGCAGCCGCGGUAAUACGUAGGGGGCAAGCGUUAUCCGGAUUUACCGGGUGUAAAGGGAGCGUAGACGGCAGCACAAGUCUGAAGUGAAAUGCCGGGGCUUAACCCCGGAACUGCUUUGGAAACUGUGG
rnacentral:rRNA from 1 species